UACGGAGGGUGCAAGCGUUAAUCGGAAUUACUGGGCGUAAAGCGUGCGUAGGUGGUUCGUUAAGUCCGUUGUGAAAGCCCCGAGCUCAACUUGGGAAUUGCAGUGGAUACUGGCGAGCUAGAGUGCGGUAGAGGAAGGUGGAAUUCCCGGUGUAGCGGUGAAAUGUGUAGAGAUCGGGAGGAACACCAGUGGCGAAGGCGGCCUUCUGGACCAAUACUGACGCUCAUGCACGAAAGCGUGGGGAGCAAACAGG
rnacentral:rRNA from 1 species